rnacentral:rRNA from 1 species
AGUGAACGCUGGCGGUAGGCCUAACACAUGCAAGUCGAACGGCAGCACAGAGGAGCUUGCUCCUUGGGUGGCGAGUGGCGGACGGGUGAGGAAUACAUCGGAAUCUACUCUGUCGUGGGGGAGAACGUAGGGAAACUUACGCUAAUACCGCAUACGACCUACGGGGGAAAGCAGGGGACCUUCGGGCCUUGCGCGGUUGAAUGAGCCGAUGUCGGAUUAGCUAGUUGGCGGGGUAAAGGCCCACCAAGGCGACGAUCCGUAGCUGGUCUGAGAGGAUGAUCAGCCACACUGGAACUGAGACACGGUCCAGACUCCUACGGGAGGCAGCAGUGGGGAAUAUUGGACAAUGGGCGCAAGCCUGAUCCAGCCAUACCGCGUGGGUGAAGAAGGCCUUCGGGUUGUAAAGCCCUUUUGUUGGGAAAGAAAUCCAGCUGGCUAAUACCCGGUUGGGAUGACGGUACCCAAAGAAUAAGCACCGGCUAACUUCGUGCCAGCCGCCGCCGUAA